ACUUUGAAUCACUAUUAGAUGAAUUAUCACACUCAGCAAACGAAUUCACUUCUGAAGAUAAACUUGAUCUCUGAAGACGACAAUUUGGUUAUCGAAACACAGGUCAGAGUGUCAUUGUGAGUGUUGUUGAAGUGGUAACAUUAAACAGUUCUUUAUUGUACUGCAUUAUAUGAUUUAGAUAAGCAUUUUCGGUUAUAUUAAACAGCGAUCUAAUAAAAAUGUUAGCUUCUAUCAGCCACUUCAUGAUUGGAUCGAGAACCGAGUCAAGUCAACGAAAGUCUAUUAUAAAAUCGACACAAACUAGAGUGCUCUUCACGUCACCCUACUGUUCAAUUACUUGUUUUCUAUCACCUUUCGUGAAAGGCGUUUCUAGAAAAUCUGCCGUUUGCACCAUUAUACUAAUCCAUUAGAAUACGAAUAUAAAAAUACGAUAUUUUCGAAUGAGUUAUUUGAAAAUCGUUCUUUCCUCAUUUCACACACAUUGCAGUAGUAUAUCGUGAACUUUCUAAUAUAUAGUUCUAAUAGUUUUGGCAAAAACUAUUUAAUCAUAUAAUUUUGUGAAAAAUAUAUUCAAUGAAUUUUUUAUAAUUUGCUACAAUUAACGGCUUAGUAACUAGCAAAGUUCGUAACUCGAACUAAAUGCUGAAACCCGUGAUUGUUCCUAAUUUUCAGUUUCUAUUAUAAACUUGGAGAGAUUAAAGUGACCAAAAAUCCUCAAUUAAACGGACCUGAGGUAAAUUGAAGGGGGUAUCUUGAUUUCGUACACAAGGUAUAUUAUUUUUAUGUAGCCUUUGCAUAAUGGAAGGAUUUUCAAACUCCUAAAUUUUCUACCAAAACGAUUGUGACAUUCGUUAGUUGUAUUUUGCUGAGACAACCAAUUUACUUCAAUGUUAAUAAAGUUUUUAUGAAAUUA